CCCGGUGGUGAUACCGGAGGGGCCACACCUCUUCCCAUUCCGAACAGAGACGUUAAGCCCUCCAGGGCCGAUGGUACUGUGCUGGUAACGGUAUGGGAGAGUAGGUCGCUGCCGGGU
rnacentral:rRNA from 1 species